rnacentral:rRNA from 1 species
CAUGCAUGUCUAAGUAUAAGCAAUCUAUACGGUGAAACUGCGAAUGGCUCAUUAAAUCAGUUAUCGUUUAUUUGAUAGUACCUUACUACUUGGAUAACCGUGGUAAUUCUAGAGCUAAUACAUGCUAAAAACCUCGACUUCGGAAGGGGUGUAUUUAUUAGAUAAAAAACCAAUGCCCUUCGGGGCUCCUUGGUGAUUCAUAAUAACUUAACGAAUCGCAUGGCCUUGUGCCGGCGAUGGUUCAUUCAAAUUUCUGCCCUAUCAACUUUCGAUGGUAGGAUAGUGGCCUACCAUGGUUUCAACGGGUAACGGGGAAUUAGGGUUCUAUUCCGGAGAGGGAGCCUGAGAAACGGCUACCACAUCCAAGGAAGGCAGCAGGCGCGCAAAUUACCCAAUCCCGACACGGGGAGGUAGUGACAAUAAAUACUGAUACAGGGCUCUUUUGGGUCUUGUAAUUGGAAUGAGUACAAUUUAAAUCCCUUAACGAGGAACAAUUGGAGGGCAAGUCUGGUGCCAGCAGCCGCGGUAAUUCCAGCUCCAAUAGCGUAUAUUAAAGUUGUUGCAGUUAAAAAGCUCGUAGUUGAACCUUGGGCCUGGCUGGCCGGUCCGCCUCACCGCGUGCACUGGUCCGGCCGGGCCUUUCCUUCUGGGGAGCCGCAUGCCCUUCACUGGGUGUGUCGGGGAACCAGGACUUUUACUUUGAAAAAAUUAGAGUGUUCAAAGCAGGCCUAUGCUCGAAUACAUUAGCAUGGAAUAAUAGAAUAGGACGUGUGGUUCUAUUUUGUUGGUUUCUAGGACCGCCGUAAUGAUUAAUAGGGAUAGUCGGGGGCAUCAGUAUUCAAUUGUCAGAGGUGAAAUUCUUGGAUUUAUUGAAGACUAACUACUGCGAAAGCAUUUGCCAAGGAUGUUUUCAUUAAUCAGUGAACGAAAGUUAGGGGAUCGAAGACGAUCAGAUACCGUCGUAGUCUUAACCAUAAACUAUGCCGACUAGGGAUCGGGCGAGGUUACUUUUU